ANUAGCGGCGAGCGAAGCGGGNAUAGCCCANNNUGUAAAGCCAACUUGUUUGGCGAUGUAGUGGCCAUUCUGGAGACGUCAGUUCAGGAAAGUGAGCAUGAAAGUGCCCGCCGCGGAGGGUUAAAGCCCCGUCCAUCCUGGACAGGACGUUCUCGUACAGGGAUGCGCCGAAAGAGUCGUGUAGCUUGGGAAUGCUGCACUAAGAUAGGUGAUAGAUCUCAUCUAAGGCUAAAUACUGGUAGGAGACCGAUAGCAAACAAGUACCGUGAGGGAAAGUUGCAAAGCACUUUGAAAAGAGGGUGAAAAGAACCUGAAACCGUUACGUUGAAACCGCAUUGCAGCAGAGUGAAGGGCCGCGUUUUUGUUCAGCUUGGAGGGGAACCUCUAGGUGUACUCAAAUUCCAUGUGCCCGCCAGUCGUGAGCUUUUGGUGGCCGAUUUCUCGGCUGCUGGAGGCGGAGGGCUCCCCCUUUUAAUUAAGGGGUCUGAGGACGAUUCUGGAUAAUACUGCGAUUCGACCCGUCUUGAAACACGGACCAAGAAGUCUAGCGUGUCUGCGAGUCAAAGGGUGUGAAAACCUGUGGGCGCAGUGAAAGCGAACUUCCAUAUUAGAAAAAAAACGUUGCAGUUUGAGGCGGCAUACGAUCGUUGAUUGUAGGUCUGACCUUGAGCAGAUAUGCUAGGACCCGAAAGAUGGUGAACUAUGCNUUGAGUAGGGUGAAANNCAGGANAAAUCCUGGUGGAAGCUCGUAGCGGUNGCUGNACGUGC
rnacentral:rRNA from 1 species